AUGCUCAUCCUUUGCCACCCACGACUUCCUCUGGACGCGCACCUUGGCUUGGGCAACACGAGAACCGCACUGGGGACCUCGCAUCCUUCUUCUUCAAAAGGAAGUGGUGUGAAGCAAUUCAGCAAAAGGGCAGGGUCACAAAGACCUGAAAUACAUUCCUCUGCACUCCAACCUCCGCCCAUCCUCUCCAAACCACAAAGGCAUGUGCUCAGUGAUGAUUUCCCAGUGCCUAUUUCUCUUUUUUGGUUAUGGUGAAAAUGGCGUGACUAAUCAUGACAAUGCAAAGUACAAGAAUUACUUGGUUGCUGGUAUCAGUGCUUUAGUGGAAAAUAUACUUCACCACCCACUGGAUCAAAAAUAUUAACCCAGUCUCUGGUACAUUAACCCCUGCUGCUGCAGUUCUGUGUGAGGCUUGGGGAUGGCACGCUCAACAGAAGUGCAUAUUCUGCCACUUCAGCAGGCUGUUAAACUAAUACUUCAACUUCCCUCUGAGAAGACAUAUACUGGGAAGAAAGACGUCCAACAGAUCAUGCAGAAAAUUAGCUUUUCCAUAUUUCUCUGAGGAGAUGCCAUCCUGGAGAAGAUGGUUGGAGCUUCCUAGAAACAAGCAAUAGACAAACCUUGGCUUUCCUAACAUCCAGUGUUUUCGACAACUUUGCUUUUGGCUCCCUCUACUUCCCCAUCUUUUUCACCCUCCAGUUGGUCUGUCCUCUAUCCUGCCUCAUUGCAUGCAUAGAAAGCUCCACUUUAAGGCAUGUGCAAAUUCACACAAAACAUGAACACUGUUUUGACAACAUGGGACUUGCGCUGGGUCUCUGUGGGGCAGGACGGUGUGUGCUAAGCAGUGGGUUACUGCCAGACUCUGUUCCCAAGCUCUCACUGAAUCACAAGGCUGCAAAUUUUACUCAGAUGGGUUUCCACAGUCUUCAGGAAUAGCAUAUAUUUAAAUUACCACAUCUCUAGUUCCCAGUUUUGGAUUUCCUUCUGCCCUGUGCUGUUCUUUUGUGUGCUCCCCUGUGAAGGAGUACAUAUCUUCCUG
rnacentral:lncRNA from 1 species